GGGAAUAGGCUUAUGUGGCUCUAAGAUAUAUUUAAGAAUUUUCCUAGGGUUUUUGGAAUAUGGAUGGACAAGAUGGGAAUUCCUGGGUAGGCUUAUAUAGGGUUUUCUAUUUAUGUGGGGGCUAGAUAAUUUGGAAAAGAGGCUUGGAUGUGAUGAACAGUGGUAAAGGAGGGCAUGAUUAGGUUUAGAAUAUUUCGUAGUAUUUUUAUGAAUUUUGGGGAUUUUUU
rnacentral:lncRNA from 1 species